AUGAGGCUUUGGCUCCAUGUAAUGUUCCUUGCAGUGGCUUUGGAAGGUGUCCGGUCCCAGGUGCAGCUGGUGGAGUCCGGAGGGGAUGUGAAAAAGCCCGGAGACUCUCUCCGCCUCUCCUGCAAAGCCUCCGGGUUCACCUUCAGCAGCUCCGCUAUGAGCUGGGUCCGGCAGGCUCCCGGGAAGGGGCUGGAAUGGGUCUCACUCAUUUACACUGAUGGGAGCCAACAAUUUUACGCAGACUCAGUGAAAGGCCGAUUCACCAUCUCUAGAGACAACCCCAACAACCUGCUGUAUCUGCAAAUGACCGGCCUGAAGCCCGAGGACACCGCCCGGUAUCACUGUGCGGGACACACAGUGAGGGGAAGCCGGGCUGAGCUCAGACAAAAACCUGCCCUCGCUGGCUAA